rnacentral:rRNA from 1 species
GACGAACGCUGGCGGCGUGCCUAAUACAUGCAAGUUGAGUGCUGAAGGUUGGUACUUGUACCAACUGGAUGAGCAGCGAACGGGUGAGUAACGCGUGGGGAAUCUGCCUUUGAGCGGGGGACAACAUUUGGAAACGAAUGCUAAUACCGCAUAAAAACUUUAAACACAAGUUUUAAGUUUGAAAGAUGCAAUUGCAUCACUCAAAGAUGAUCCCGCGUUGUAUUAGCUAGUUGGUGAGGUAAAGGCUCACCAAGGCGAUGAUACAUAGCCGACCUGAGAGGGUGAUCGGCCACAUUGGGACUGAGACACGGCCCAAACGCCUACGGGAGGCAGCAGUAGGGAAUCUUCGGCAAUGGACGAAAGUCUGACCGAGCAACGCCGCGUGAGUGAAGAAGGUUUUCGGAUCGUAAAACUCUGUUGGUAGAGAAGAACGUUGGUGAGAGUGGAAAGCUCAUCAAGUGACGGUAACUACCCAGAAAGGGACGGCUAACUACGUG